CAAGCGUUGUCCGGAAUUAUUGGGCGUAAAGGGNUCGCAGGCGGUUUUCUUAANUNUGAUGUGAAAGCCCCCGGCUCNACCGGGGAGGGUCAUUGNAAACUGGGGAACUUGAGUGCAGAAGAGGAGAGUGGAAUUNCACGUGUAGCGGUGAAAUGCGUAGAGAUGUGGAGGAACACCAGUGGCGAAGGCGACUNUCUGGUCUGUAACUGACGCUGAGGAGCGAAAGCGUGGGGAGCGAACAGGAUUAGAUACCCUGGUAGUCCACGCCGUAAACGAUGAGUGCUAAGUGUUAGGGGGUUUCCGCCCCUUAGUGCUGCAGCUAACGCAUUAAGCACUCCGCCUGGGGAGUACGGUCGCAAGACUGAAACUCAAAGGAAUUGACGGGGGCCCGCACAAGCGGUGGAGCAUGUGGUUUAAUUCGAAGCAACGCGAGGAACCUUACCAGGUCUUGACAUCCUCUGACAAUCCUAGAGAUAGGACGUCCCCUUCGGGGGCAGAGUGACAGGUGGUGCGUGGUUGUCGUCAGCUCGUGUCGUGAGAUGUUGGGUUAAGUCCCGCAACGAGCGCAACCCUUGAUCUUAGUUGCCAGCAUUCAGUUGGGCACUCUAAGGUGACUGCCGGUGACAAACCGGAGGAAGGUGGGGAUGACGUCAAAUCAUCAUGCCCCUUAUGACCUGGGCUACACACGUGCUACAAUGGGCAGAACAAAGGGCAGCGAAACCGCGAGGUUAAGCCAAUCCCACAAAUCUGUUCUCAGUUCGGAUCGCAGUCUGCAACUCGACUGCGUGAAGCUGGAAUCGCUAGUAAUCGCGGAUCAGCAUGCCGCGGUGAAUACGUUCCCNGGCNNNUGUACACACCGCCCGUAAUCG
rnacentral:rRNA from 1 species